rnacentral:tRNA from 1 species
GGAGAGUUGCCGGAGCGGUCGAACGGGGCGGUCUCGAAAACCGUUGAAGGCUACGCCUUCCGGGGGUUCGAAUCCCUCACUCUCCG